rnacentral:ncRNA from 2 species
ACUGAUCGCGCGGGAGAGAUCCUGCGAUUCGCGAUGGGUCAAACCAUCGCGGCGACGGACGCCGAAGGAGCAACCGCCCCGGAAACUCUCAGGCACCAGGGACUGCGUGGAUCAA